CCCACAUUCAGUGUAAGGCCUUAUCUGUGUCCAAACACUGCAGAACUUACGGGCCCAUACACCAGCUUUUCCCUGCACUAAGCCAGCAGCCCUCUGUCCUCUCAUUUUGCUUCAUUCAUUGAUUUUCUUUAAAGAUCCUGAUGACAGACCUGGCUUGGGAGAGCCAGCCAGAUCUGUGAAUGGGUCUGAUGGAGGCCUGUCCUGCCUGGAAGACCUGGACACUGGUAUAGGAAAACAUGAAGAACGGGGAAAGUAGCUGCCGCAUGCCAAUGUGAAACUCCGAGGAGUCUAGCCAUUCUGAUCUGGCCUUCCAGGUCAUUAGGAGGCUCUGCCAUCGUGUGAGGAGGGAAAGCCUGCUGUCUGGAGAGCACACUGGUCUCCAGCGUGGGGAGAGAGAGCACUUUCGGGCUUUGCUGAGGAGGGUCUUCAGAAAAAAGAGUACUGCCAACAAGAAGGCCCAAUCAAGAUCCUCCCACAACAAGAGCAGAUUGUGAGCGUGGCAAGCUCUAUGCUGAGCACUGGAAGGACAAAGAGAGAUUGGGCACAGACUUCUCACUGAUCCAGGUGAUGAAGAGCUCACAUCUGAGAGGAUGUGACCAUGGAUGACCCACCAGAAUGUCAUGGGAUCCAGCUACAGCCAAGGAAGCACAGAGCACCGUGGGAGCGAUUUAUUGUGCUUGGGGAUGGGGAAGGGGACAUGGGAGGAGCCAUAUUGAGAAAGUAGCAUGGGUACUUGGCUUCACAGAGUGUGGCAGCUUUCAUCAGGAAGUGAUGGUGGGGGAACAGCGUCUCUGGCGGAGGGAAGCAGCAGGUGCAGAGGUGCAGAGGUGUGAGGAGUCUGUCACAUUCUGGGAAGGGAGUAUGGUUGGGUGACAAUGCAAGACAGAGAAAGCAAGGAGGGAAGGAGGGGCCUAGCCUGAGGAAUAAAGAAUAAUAAAAGCA
rnacentral:lncRNA from 1 species